rnacentral:rRNA from 1 species
GUCUAGUACAUGCCGUAUUAAGGCGAAACCGCGAAUGGCUCAUUAAAUCAGUUAUGGUUCCUUGGAUCGUACCUUACUACUUGGAUAACUGUGGUAAUUCUAGAGCUAAUACAUGCAGCAGAGCUCCGACCUUCGGGGACGAGCGCUUUUAUUAGACCAAAACCAAUCGGACUCCGUCCGUCUCUCGUGGUGACUCUGAAUAACUUUGGGCUGAUCGCACGGGCCCGUCCCGGCGACGUAUCUUUCAAGUGUCUGCCUUAUCAACUGUCGAUGGUAGGUUACGCGCCUACCAUGGUCGUAACGGGUAACGGGGAAUCAGGGUUCGAUUCCGGAGAGGGAGCCUGAGAAACGGCUACCACAUCCAAGGAAGGCAGCAGGCGCGCAAAUUACCCACUCCCAGAACGGGGAGGUAGUGACGAAAAAUAACAAUACGGGACUCUUUUGAGACCCCGUAAUUGGAAUGAGUACACUCUAAAUCCUUUAACGAGGAUCCAUUGGAGGGCAAGUCUGGUGCCAGCCGCCGCGGUAACUCCAGCUCCAAUAGCGUAUAUUAAAGUUGUUGCGGUUAAAAAGCUCGUAGUUGGAUCUCAGUUCCAGACGGGUGGUCCGCCUACCGGUGGUUACUGCCUGUUCUGAACAGCCAGCCGGUUUCUCUUGAUGAUCUUCACCGGUUGUCUUGGGUGACCGGCAAGUUUACUUUGAAAAAAUUAGAGUGCUCAAAGCAGGCGCGACGCCUGAAUAAUGGUGCAUGGAAUAAUGGAAUAGGACCUCGGUUCUAUUUUGUUGGUUUUCGGAACACGAGGUAAUGAUUAAGAGGGACAGACGGGGGCAUUCGUAUUGCGACGCUAGAGGUGAAAUUCUUGGACCGUCGCAGGACGAACUACUGCGAAAGCAUUUGCCAAGAAUGUUUCCAUUAAUCAAGAACGAAAGUUAGAGGUUCGAAGGCGAUCAGAUACCGCCCUAGUUCUAACCAUAAACGAUGCCAGCCAGCGAUCCGGCUGUGUUCCUCAAAUGACACGCCGGGCAGCUUCCGGGAAACCAAAGCUUUUGGGUUCCGGGGGAAGUAUGGUUGCAAAGCUGAAACUUAAAGGAAUUGACGGAAGGGCACCACCAGGAAUGGAGCCUGCGGCUUAAUUUGACUCAACACGGGAAAACUCACCCGGCCCGGACACAGGAAGGAUUGACAGAUUAAGAGCUCUUUCUUGAUUCUGUGGGUGGUGGUGCAUGGCCGUUCUUAGUUGGUGGAGCGAUUUGUCUGGUUAAUUCCGAUAACGAACGAGACUCUAGCCUACUAAAUAGACGUUCCGAUCACUCUCGUCGGGCGU